rnacentral:rRNA from 1 species
UACGUAGGGUCCGAGCGUUGUCCGGAAUUACUGGGCGUAAAGAGCUCGUAGGUGGUUUGUCGCGUUGUUCGUGAAAACUCACAGCUUAACUGUGGGCGUGCGGGCGAUACGGGCAGACUGGAGUACUGCAGGGGAGACUGGAAUUCCUGGUGUAGCGGUGGAAUGCGCAGAUAUCAGGAGGAACACCGGUGGCGAAGGCGGGUCUCUGGGACGGUACUGACGCUGAGACGCGAAAGCGUGGGGAGCAAACAGG